AGCAUUCGAAAAAAUUGAAAAAACCACCACUGCUAAAGAGGUGUUGGCACGCGGACUGGCCGUCGAUCUCGAAGCGUAUCCGACGCGGUUGGUGUUAACGUUUCGUCGAAAAUACUUUCUGCAACGCUUCGAGUUACAUGGCCUGAUCACGCGCCAUAAUCUCUUUAGCAGUGGUGGUUUUUGUAUUUUUUUCCGGCAUUUUGCUCGCGACGGAUAUGUCGACGCCGCAGAAUCCAGUGUACAGCCAUUGCUGUAAUUAUUGUAGAUCAACCACACGAUUCCGGCCGUAAGGCCUACCACCAACAUGAUCAGAAAUACGUCCGCGUUGUUGAGAUGACGUGUCUUACGAACCUGCGAACAACGAGACCGAGAUCCACGGCGUGGCGUGGUCGUUCGGCAUAAGGAUGAGCGCCUCCGGUCAUCGUAAUCGUCUAAUUCCUCGCCAAGCACAUAAUUGUGCUGCUCGGACUGUGGCAUGUGGUUCUGUGCGACGUUUAUUUGCUCGAAAUUUACAAGUCAGAGGAUACUCUGUGGUAGCCGGUAAAAGUACAAAAAUGUUUACGAAAAAUAAUUGGGAGAGGAACAGAGCAACCCACAGGUUCAAUAAAGAAGUUUGAAACAUUUAAAAACAGCAACACCGUUGAUAUUGAAGGACUAAUUAAAGUAUUUAUUUCUGGUGCCAAAUUUCGGUAAAAAAAAAACCAAAUGAUAAAACUAUAAGUGAA